rnacentral:rRNA from 1 species
GUGGGGAAUCUUCCGCAAUGGACGAAAGUCUGACGGAGCAACGCCGCGUGAGUGAAGAAGGUUUUCGGAUCGUAAAGCUCUUUCGUUAGGGACGAACGUGCUCUUUGUGAAUAAUGAGGAGUAAUGACGGUACCUAAAUAAGAAGCCACGGCUAACUACGUGCCAGCAGCCGCGGUAAUACGUAGGUGGCAAGCGUGGUCCGGAAUUAUUGGGCGUAAAGCGCGCGCAGGCGGGAUAUCAAGUCUGUCUUAAAAGUGCGAGGCUAAAACUCGUGAGGGGACAGAAACUGGUAUUCUUGAGUGUCGGAGAGGAAAGUGGAAUUCCAAGUGUAGCGGUGAAAUGCGUAGAGAUUUGGAAGAACACCAGUGGCGAAGGCGACUUUCUUGACGAUGUCUGACGCUGAGGCGCGAAAGCUAGGGGAGCAAACAGGAGUAGAAACCCUGGUAGUCC